rnacentral:rRNA from 1 species
GUUUAAAGCAAGCUCACGCUUGAAUACAUUAGCAUGGAAUAAUGAAAUAGGACGUUUGAUUCUAUUUUGUUGGUUUCUAGGAUCGACGUAAUGAUUAAUAGGGAUAGUUGGGA